UUUGUUUGGAGAGUUUGAUCCUGGCUCAGGACGAACGCUGGCGGCGUGCUUAACACAUGCAAGUCGAACGGUGAAGCGCCUUCCUUUUUGGUGGGUGUGGAUGAGUGGCGAACGGGUGAGUAACACGUGAGUAACCUGCCCCCUUCUUCUGGAUAACCGCAUGAAAGUGUGGCUAAUACGGGAUAUUCUGGGUCUGUCGCAUGGUGGGUCCGGGAAAG
rnacentral:rRNA from 1 species